rnacentral:rRNA from 1 species
GAUGAACGCUGGCGGCGUGCCUAAUACAUGCAAGUCGAGCGAACAGACGAGGAGCUUGCUCCUCUGACGUUAGCGGCGGACGGGUGAGUAACACGUGGAUAACCUACCUAUAAGACUGGGAUAACUUCGGGAAACCGGAGCUAAUACCGGAUAAUAUAUUGAACCGCAUGGUUCAAUAGUGAAAGACGGUUUUGCUGUCACUUAUAGAUGGAUCCGCGCCGCCUUAGCUAGUUGGUAAGGUAACGGCUUACCAAGGCAACGAUGCGUAGCCGACCUGAGAGGGAGAUCGGCCACACUGGAACUGAGACACGGUCCAGACUCCUACGGGGGGCAGCAGUAGGGAAUCUUCCGCAAUGGGCGAAAGCCUGACGGAGCAAAGCCGCGUGAGUGAUGAAGGUCUUCGGAUCGUAAAACGCUGUUAUUAGGGAAGUACAAAUGUGUAAGUAACUAUGCACGUCUUGACGGUACCUAAUCAGAAAGCCACGGCUAACUACGUG